rnacentral:rRNA from 1 species
AACGAACGCUGGCGGCAGGCUUAACACAUGCAAGUCGAGCGGCCCUGCAAGGGGAGCGGCAGACGGGUGAGUAACGCGUGGGAACCUACCUGAAGGUACGGAACAACUCCGGGAAACUGGAGCUAAUACCGUAUGUGCCCGAGAGGGAAGAUUCAUCGCCUUCAGAUGGCCCGCGUCAGAUUAGCUAGUUGGUGAGGUAAUGGCUCACCAAGG